CACGUAGGGCGCAAGCGUUGUCCGGAAUUAUUGGGCGUAAAGAGCUCGUAGGUGGUCUGUUGCGUCCGCUGUGAAAACUCGGGGCUUAACCCCGAGCCUGCAGUGGAUACGGGCAGACUAGAGGUAGGUAGGGGAGAAUGGAAUUCCUGGUGUAGCGGUGAAAUGCGCAGAUAUCGGGAAGAACACCCGUGGCGAAGGCGGUUCUCUGGGACGGUACUGACGCUGAGACGCGAAAGCGUGGGGAGCGAACAGG
rnacentral:rRNA from 1 species